rnacentral:rRNA from 1 species
UCGGGAAUUUUGGGCAAUGGGCGAAAGCCUGACCCAGCAACGCCGCGUGAAGGAUGAAAUCCUUCGGGAUGUAAACUUCGCAAGAACGGGAAGAAUAAGUGAGAGCUAACAUCUCUUACGAUGACGGUACUGUUUGUAAGCUCCGGCUAACUCCGUGCCAGCAGCCGCGGUAAUACGGGGGGAGCAAGCGUUGUUCGGAAUUACUGGGCGUAAAGGGCGCGUAGGCGGUGCUCUAAGUCAGGCGUGAAAGCCCUGGGCUCAACCCGGGAACUGCGCUUGAUACUGGGGCGCUUGAAUCCAGGAGAGGUUGGUGGAAUUCCCAGUGUAGAGGUGAAAUUCGUAGAGAUUGGGAAGAACACCGGUGGCGAAGGCGGCCAACUGGACUGGUAUUGACGCUGAGGCGCGAAAGCGUGGGGAGCAAAC